GGAUUAGAUACCCUGGUAGUCCACGCCCUAAACGAUGUGUGCUAGAUGUUGGAGGUGAAUGCCUUCAGUGUCGCAGCUAACGCGUUAAGCACACCGCCUGAGGAGUACGAUCGCAAGAUUAAAACUCAAGGGAAUUGACGGGGACCCGCACAAGCGGUGGAGCAUGUGGUUUAAUUCGAAGAUACGCGACAAACCUUACCAGUCGCUUGACAUGUAUUGAAGGCUUCUCAGAGAUGAGAAGUUCGGUUCGCCGACCUUACACAGGUGCUGCAUGGCUGUCGUCAGCUCGUGUUG
rnacentral:rRNA from 1 species